GAUGAACGCUGGCGGCGUGCCUAAUACAUGCAAGUCGAGCGAACAGACGAGGAGCUUGCUCCUUCGACGUUAGCGGCGGACGGGUGAGUAACACGUAGGUAACCUACCUAUAAGACUGGGAUAACUUCGGGAAACCGGAGCUAAUACCGGAUAAAAUUUCGAACCGCAUGGUUCGAUAGUGAAAGAUGGCUUUGCUAUCACUUAUAGAUGGACCUGCGCCGUAUUAGCUAGUUGGUAAGGUAACGGCUUACCAAGGCAACGAUACGUAGCCGACCUGAGAGGGUGAUCGGCCACACUGGAACUGAGACACGGUCCAGACUCCUACGGGAGGCAGCAGUAGGGAAUCUUCCGCAAUGGGCGAAAGCCUGACGGAGCAACGCCGCGUGAGUGAUGAAGGUCUUCGGAUCGUAAAACUCUGUUAUUAGGGAAGAACAAACGUGUAAGUAACUGUGCACGUCUUGACGGUACCUAAUCAGAAAGCCACGGCUAACUACGUG
rnacentral:rRNA from 1 species